rnacentral:miRNA from 1 species
UGAUGAUGAUGGUGAGGAGGAGGAGGAGGAGGAGGAGGAGGAGGAUCAUCAUGAUAUAUCUUCUCUUCUUCUUCUUCUUCUUCUUCUUCUUCUUCG